rnacentral:lncRNA from 1 species
GCACGAGGAAACUGACCAGGCACCAGGGAAUUUGAAACAUAAAAGACUAAGCAAUAAUUUAAGCUGAUUCCAUGAAGUUCUUGGACUCAGAUCAGAACUUACACCAUGAGCUGCCACCAUCCCAUACCUGCACCCCCACACACCCAUUCUCAGGCCUUUAGACUUGGAGCGAAUUACACCACCAACUUUCCUGGUUCUCCAGUUUGCAGAUAGCAGAUCGUGGGACAUCUUGAUCUCCAUAAUCAUUCAAUUUCCAUUUCCACCACCAACCCCAGGCAACCAUUGGUCUGCAUUCCAACUCGAUGGAUUUGCCUUUUCUGGACCUUUCAUGUAAGUGGAAUUAUGCACUAUACAAUAUUUUGCAUCUGGCUUCUUUCACUGAGCAUAAUGUUUUUGAAGUUCAUCCAUGUCGUAGCAUGUAUCAGUGCAACAUUCUUUCUUAUUGUCAAUAAAUAUUCCAUGUGUAG